rnacentral:rRNA from 1 species
UACGUAGGGAGCAAGCGUUGUCCGGAAUCAUUGGGCGUAAAGCGCGCGUAGGUGGCUUCGUAAGUCCGUUGUGAAAGUCAAAGGCUCAACCUUUGAAAGCCGAUGGAUACUGUGGAGCUAGAGUACGGAAGAGGCGAGUGGAAUUCCUGGUGUAGCGGUGGAAUGCGCAGAUAUCAGGAGGAACACCAAUAGCGAAGGCAGCUCGCUGGGACGUUACUGACACUGGAGGCGCGAAAGCGUGGGAGCGAACAGG